CCUACGGGAGGCAGCAGUGGGGAAUAUUGGACAAUGGGGGGAACCCUGAUCCAGCGACGCCGCGUGAGUGAAGAAGUAUUUCGGUAUGUAAAGCUCUAUCAGCAGGGAAGAAAGAAAUGACGGUACCUGACUAAGAAGCCCCGGCUAACUACGUGCCAGCAGCCGCGGUAAGACGUAGGGGGCAAGCGUGAUCCGGAUUUACUGGGUGUAAAGGGAGCGUAGACGGCGAUGCAAGUCUGAAGUGAAAGGCGGGGGCCCAACCCCCGGACUGCUUUGGAAACUGUAUGGCUGGAGUGCAGGAGAGGUAAGUGGAAUUCGUAGUGUAGCGGUGAAAUGCGUAGAUAUUAGGCGGAACACCAGUGGCGAAGGCGGCUUACUGGACUGUAACUGACGUUGAGGCUCGAAAGCGUGGGGAGCAAACAGGAUUAGAUACCCGUGUAGUC
rnacentral:rRNA from 1 species